GCCCCAGGUCCGCAGGCUUUCCGCUCGUGAACCGCGUCAGGCCCCCGCAGGGAGCAGCGCUAAGCGAUGUCGGGAUUCGUUGCGGGGUGCCUGGGGCAUU
rfam:Gemmatimonadetes bacterium 13_1_20CM_4_66_11 13_1_20cm_4_scaffold_95, whole genome shotgun sequence.